rnacentral:misc_RNA from 1 species
AGAAUUAUGAUUUUGUAAUGAUGCACAUCUAUAGGUAGGUAUCAAAGAAUGAUAAGCAAUAAGAAGGAUACUAUAAAUAUUCUUAGUCUAAGACAUAAAUAAAACUAAAUCAAAUUGCUUUAACACUAUUUAUUAAAACAUAACAGCAUAACGGAACAAUACACUAUAUACACUCAUAAUGCAAAGUAUAAUACAAUAUGAUCAAUAUAUUUUAGACAUCAACAAACUGCAAAGAGACCAUACUUUUUACCGCAGAAAAUAAAUACUUCAAAAUAUAUGACAGUUAAAUUACUAAAUAAAUGCAGACAUAUACUGGGUAUUACGUGGGUACUAUUAGAUGCAUACUAUACAGGCAGCAACUGUUGGAAAUAGAGAAAACAAUGGUCCGGGAGCCGGGUAAAAAUUUGGUCAAUUAUUUCCGCCCAUUCGAAUUGGUCAUGAAAAUCUGUCAUUGGCUCUCGGACUAAAACUUGUCCAGAAAUUAUGACACACAUUUAGUAUUCACAUCAAUAAGAUGACUGAUAGAAUAGCGUUGGCUGCAGUGAUUUACUGACCAUGUUGUUGCAGGUAAUUUAAAGGACCUAGAAGAUUUAGACAAAUUUUUCCUUCUGUAAUAUAGGAAAUAUUGUAAAUAUGGCAUUCAUUUUAUUCUUUUCGAGGAUUAAUAUAGAAAUAAAUUUUUUAUUGAUUAAAUUUUUUCCAGUAACAUCUCACUGCUGGACAUUGGCGGAUAUUACCUAACGUUCUCUCCGAGGCACGGUGGGAAGACCCACAAGGACUGCAUAAACACCCAGAUCAUAUCAAUCAUCUGUAUGGCCAACACAAAUGUUUGUCAUGUGCAUGAAUCGAACCCGCAACUGCCAGCGCAACGCACAAAUUAGUGCUCUGAUCGUUGUGCCAACGCGUCGCCGUGUAGGUACUCAUAGUAAGUUAGAGGCGUCAUAGUAAGUCAGACAUGUCGUAGUGAGUCAUACGUCGUAAGUUCACCAGACCGGAAAGAAAAUAAUUGUUCGAAAUAUUCAUUACGAGAGAGAUAGAAUGCGGAAUAGUCGAAACAUAGGCGCCUACACCGCACAAGCACAACGCCAGAGCGGUGUCAUAGAAAUAUUUAUACAAAUAAAAACAUUCAACCAAAUAUGCAGAUGUUUUUGUUUUUCUGUUUAUUUAAUAUUUUAAGAUAAUGCUAUCGGUUUGUCUUAAUAGUUACGUUUGUAGUAAAAAUAAAAUUAAAAUAAACUUCUAAGUUUUCGAAAACAAUAAUAAU